rnacentral:rRNA from 1 species
GCAUAUCAAUAAGCGGAGGAAAAGAAACCAACAGGGAUUACCUCAGUAACGGCGAGUGAAGCGGUAACAGCUCAAAUUUGAAAUCUGGCUCUUUCAGGGUCCGAGUUGUAAUUUGUAGAAGAUGCUUCGGGUGUGGCCCCGGUCUAAGUUCCUUGGAACAGGACGUCAUAGAGGGUGAGAAUCCCGUAUGUGACUGGGUGCCUUCGCCUAUGUGAAGCUCUUUCGACGAGUCGAGUUGUUUGGGAAUGCAGCUCAAAAUGGGUGGUAAAUUUCAUCUAAAGCUAAAUAUUGGCCAGAGACCGAUAGCGCACAAGUAGAGUGAUCGAAAGAUGAAAAGCACUUUGGAAAGAGAGUUAAACAGUACGUGAAAUUGUUGAAAGGGAAGCGCUUGCAACCAGACUUGCACGUUGUCGAUCAUCCGGGGUUCUCCCCGGUGCACUCGAUCUCGUUCAGGCCAGCAUCGGUUUUGGUGGUGGGAUAAAGGCCUUGGGAAUGUAGCUUCUUUCGGGGAGUGUUAUAGCCCUCGGUGCAAUGCCGCCUACCGGGACCGAGGACCGCGCUUCGGCUAGGAUGCUGGCGUAAUGGUUGUAAGCGACCCGUCUUGAAACACGGACCAAGGAGUCUAACAUCUAUGCGAGUGUUUGGGUGUCAAACCCAUACGCGUAAUGAAAGUGAACGGAGGUGAGAACCCUUAAGGGUGCAUCAUCGACCGAUCCUGAUGUCUUCGGAUGGAUUUGAGUAAGAGCAUAGCUGUUGGGACCCGAAAGAUGGUGAACUAUGCGUGAAUAGGGUGAAGCCAGAGGAAACUCUGGUGGAGGCUCGCAGCGGUUCUGACGUGCAAAUCGAUCGUCAAAUUUGCGUAUAGGGGCGAAAGACUAAUCGAACCAUCUAGUAGCUGGUUCCUGCGA